GACGAACGCUGGCGGCGUGCUUAACACAUGCAAGUCGAACGGAAAGGCCCUGCUUUUGUGGGGUGCUCGAGUGGCGAACGGGUGAGUAACACGUGAGUAACCUGCCCUUGACUUUGGGAUAACUUCAGGAAACUGGGGCUAAUACCGGAUAGGAGCUCCUGCUGCAUGGUGGGGGUUGGAAAGUUUCGGCGGUUGGGGAUGGACUCGCGGCUUAUGAGCUUGUUGGUGGGGUAGUGGCUUACCAAGGCUUUGACGGGUAGCCGGCCUGAGAGGGUGACCGGCCACAUGGGGACUGAGAUACGGCCCAGACUCCUACGGGAGGCAGCAGUGGGGAAUAUUGCACAAUGGGCGGAAGCCUGAUGCAGCAACGCCGCGUGCGGGAUGACGGCCUUCGGGUUGUAAACCGCUUUCGCCUGUGACGAAGCGUGAGUGACGGUAAUGGGUAAAGAAGCACCGGCUAACUACGUG
rnacentral:rRNA from 1 species